UACGUAGGGUGCAAGCGUUAAUCGGAAUUACUGGGCGUAAAGCGUGCGCAGGCGGUUUUGUAAGUCUGACGUGAAAUCCCCGGGCUCAACCUGGGAAUUGCGUUGGAGACUGCAAGGCUAGAAUCUGGCAGAGGGGGGUAGAAUUCCACGUGUAGCAGUGAAAUGCGUAGAGAUGUGGAGGAACACCGAUGGCGAAGGCAGCCCCCUGGGUUAAGAUUGACGCUCAUGCACGAAAGCGUGGGGAGGAAACAGG
rnacentral:rRNA from 1 species